rnacentral:rRNA from 1 species
CAGUCGCCGCGGUAAUACGUAGGGUGCGAGCGUUAAUCGGAAUUACUGGGCGUAAAGCGUGCGCAGGCGGUGCUGCAAGACCGAUGUGAAAGCCCCGGGCUUAACCUGGGAACUGCAUUGGUGACUGCAGCGCUGGAGUAUGGCAGAGGGGGGUGGAAUUCCACGUGUAGCAGUGAAAUGCGUAGAGAUGUGGAGGAACACCGAUAGCGAAGGCAGCCCCCUGGGCCAAUACUGACGCUCAUGCACGAAAGCGUGGGGAGCAAACAGGAUUAGAUACCCCCGUAGUCCCUGUCUCUUAUAC